rnacentral:rRNA from 1 species
AUUGAACGCUGGCGGCAUGCUUUACACAUGCAAGUCGAACGGCAGCGCGGGCUUCGGCCUGGCGACGAGUGGCGAACGGGUGAGUAAUUCAUCUGAACGUGCCCAGUGUUGGGGGAUAGCCCGGCGAAAGCCGGAUUAAUACCGCAUACGACCAGGUGGCGAAAGCUGGUGGCCGAACGGCCUCGCGCUUUUUUAUCGGCCGAUGUCGGUUUAGCUAGUGUGUGGGGUAAAGGUUUACCAAGGCGUCGAUCCGCAGCUGGUCUGAAAGAACGACCAGCCACACGGGGAGUGAGACACGGCCCAGACUCCUACAGGAGGCAGCAGUGGGGAAUUUUGGACGAUGGGGACAACCCUGAUCCAGCAAUACCGCGUGCUGGAAGAAGACCUUCGGGUUGUAAACCGCUUUUGUUCGGGAAGAAAUGCUCUGGGCUAAUACCCCGGGAGAAUGACGGUACCGGAAGAAUAAGCACCGGCUAACUACGUG